rnacentral:lncRNA from 1 species
AUACUUAAAAGGGGUUUUCAAGCUGAUACCCUCGAGUCCCCUUAAUACAGUCUUAAUUUCUAGCUGUGUACAUAGGGCUGUUGAACAACGAACACAUACACACACACACACACACUCACACGCACACAUGUGCAUCUAAUGAUUUCUCAACAUCUAAUUAUCAAAGUGGAAAAAUUAUAAGAAAAAUCUAUUUCUAUUCAUUUUUUCAUACACACACACACACAUACAAAAUUCCUGUUAUCUGCCAUAAAUCUUUAGUUUAAAAUUUGAAAUUUAUAUUUCUAGCAUUUUAUUUAUUUUAUUAAUGACCAAACUAAAGGUGGUGUUUGAAAAUAUUCUAAUUUUUGUUUGUAUUUCUUGUCUGUCAUACAUUUAUAAGAUGUUGUUGUCAUUGUGUUUAAAGCGUUUUCAUCACGCAGAAGAUGUUAUCAUCAUUAUGUUUGUGUUUUCACCACACAAAGAUAGCUAAGUCAUUUCACUCAUAAUAAAUUGUAACGUCUUCGAUAUUAAUGUUAAUCUCCUACCAAACAAAGAUUUGUCUUGCAGCAUUUUGCUUCCAUACACCACAUGAAUUCUUUAAAAGCAAUGAAUCUUAAAGGACUGUUGUUAAAGUUGUUAGUGGGGUUUUUUUGUUUGUUUUGUUUUUUUGACACCUAGGUAUAAAAAUAUGGAGUUUUAAAUUAACACCUACUGUGAAUUGAAAGAACAAAUAAUAACAGGCCAUUAUGCUUAAUUAUAUUUAACCAUGAAAUAGGAGAGUGACAAUGAUCUUCGGAAUUAGAAAAAUUGUUCUAAUUCCACUAGUAACCCUUUCGUUACCAACCCGGCUGAAACUGGCUCUGGCUCUGAGUACAAAUGUCUUGUUUUCACAAGUUUUGAAUUAAAAUCUUCCACCAAACCUUAGUCAUAAUCUAUGUUCUUAAAACUAGCUGAAUGAUAGCUAAGUUAUUUUACUAAAUUUUUUGUUAUAUUUAAAGUAAUUGAAAGAAAUACAGAGCAUCUCAAAAUAAAUACAGUAACGAAAGGGUUAAACAGUGAUUAACUCUUUUGUUACCAUAUUUCUAUUGAAACACAUUACCGCUGUUUUAAGUAAUUUAGAAAAUAAUGAAAAAUUUAGUAAAAUAUCCAUCAUAUUAAUUUGCAGUCUGAAACAAAAAUUAUAAAAUUUUGAGGGUAAGAUUUAAAUGUAAAUCACAUUAAGACAAAAAGUUUAUAUCAUAAAACUUAGAGCAGUUUCAAAAAGUUUAAAAUGAACUUUUGAAAGUAACUUCCAGAAAGAGUUAAGUAUACGUUUGUCUUAAAUAUUAGUGAGUUAUGUAUACAAAAAGAUUGUCUUCCUUGAAAAGAAUCCAUGUCCUGUUUUGUAGAGGGCAUGGCUUGCUGGUGCUAAUAACCAAGUAACAUAACUCUUCUGUUCCUGUUAGGUUUCCUGUCCCAUGAAAAAAAAAGAAAAAAUUCUUUUAAACUUUUACAUAACAUGCAAAGAUAAAAAUGGUUGUGAGAGUAAAAGUGCUACACUACGAACCACAUGAACCCAAGUGCAACCCCUACUUCAAUCUUUUCACUGUUUCCUUAUAUAAAAUAUCAAUUCUACCUGCUCUAGACUACACUAAAAAUAAAUACGGAUCCCAUUUAUUCCUUUAGGCAUGUAGCUGUAAAUACAACUGAUGUAAUAAUAUUAUAAAUGUUUCAACUAGGCGAAAAUCUUUUAAGCACAAACUUGAGACAGAAAAGAACAAAAGGUCCACUGACAAAAUAUUCAUCCUCAUCAUCAUCAUUUAAUGUCCGUUUUCUGUGUUGAUAUGGGUUGGACAGUUUGACAAGAGCUGGAGAGUUGUGGCAGGCUCCAGUUGUCUGUUUUGGCAUGGUUUCUAUGGCUGGAUGCUCCUCCUGGUGCCGGACACUUUACAGAGUGUACUGUGUGCUUUUUAUAUGAAACCAGCGCCAGUGGGGUUGUUAAGUAAUUUAUUGCGAGAAGGAGGGGAAUUGAGGGAAGUGGUUGUGUUCCAGGCAAGGGGUUAGAGUAUGAUAGAGGGACAGGAAUAGUUGUCUUACUAUAAAUGUGAUACUUGGCCAUCCCGGUAGAACAAAGAAUAAGGAAGGUGCAAGAGAGAGAGGAACCAUAUAUUGGGUGGGCGAGUUAACCUUAUUAUCAAUCAACUGAUAGUGUGUCUGCUGUUAUUAGCUCUUAAAUUAAGUUCUGUGAAUCAAAUUUUAGUGUUAUUUUCUGUCUCAGAUUACUGCUUAAAAUGUCUAAUUUUGCACCAGCAUUUUGACAGUCAUAAUUAGGCAAACCAUUCCACAAAUGUUAACUAAGAAAUCCAUCAUCAUAAUUGUUUUAAGAUCAUUGUUACCACAUUUGUAGGGGUCAAACAAGAUUUCCUGUCUUGGUGCUCACCCUGUGGCCAAUCAUCAUCUGUUUCCAAGCAAGGUAGUAUUUUUUCUAGACUAGAUAUAUUUUUUACAGAAGUCUACUAACAAACAGCAUCAUAUUUGUAUAAAUGGUGGCUUUGUGUGCAUUCAGUAUGCAGCGUCAUGACAGAAAUACACACACACACACACACCCACACAUAUAUACUGAUAAGGAAAUAAUUUAUUCUCAAGUGCAGAAUAAUGCUAACAGGAUAAACUAUCGAUAUUUUGCAGAAAAAUUUGCCGAUCCUGUUCCUGCUAUUAGCAUUAUUCUGUAUUUGAGAAUAUAUUAUUUCCUUAUCUGUAUCUUUCAAUACAUCUCAAUGAUUCUAAAGCAAACUUUGUUUACUUUCUUCUUAAUUCGAAUUUAUAUAUAUAUAUAUAUAUAUAUAUAUAUAUAUAUAUAUGCACACACACGCUACUGGUCUUAUCAUUUUCCAUCGGCCAAAUUCACUUACAAGACACGGUUUAAGUCGAAGACAUUUGCCGAAGGAGCAGCACAGUGGUACUGCACCUAAAACCAGAUGGUUGCAAUCUGACAUUCUUAACUAUACAAUUUAUUGUGGUUAAAGAACUAUAUGAAAUAGUUUUCAAAAGUAGAUUUUUAUCAUGUAUUGUCUCAUCUCUGUAUAGAAUUCCAGUGAGAAAGGUUCUAAUUUCACUGGAAUUUUAUACUCAGAAAUUUUCUCCCUACCUCUACUUUUCCUACAAACCACAUGCAGGACAUCAAACAUAUCAGUCUCCUGUUUCUGGGAGAAUUAAUUUUGAUAGUUGUGGGCAUUGUCUCUCCAUCUCUGGCUAAUCUAUAAAAACAAGACUAUUGACUUUAGUAACUCAAUCCCAAGUUACCAGUUAAAUUACACAUGGAUAUAACAAUAUUUAGAAAUAUUAAUGAUUUUUUUAAAUUUAAAAACAAUGAAAAGUGGUGGACGCAAACUGUCUCCUGGUUUAAUUCCACCACCUGGUCCUUGGAGACCAUUGUGUUACUGGUAUUCAGGUCAAGGCUCUUAUCUGAAGAUAAUAUCUUCCUUUCUUCUCAUCCAUUUUGCAGACCCAGAAUAGCAUCAUAGGUUUUGUGCUUCCUCCUCUCACUAAGUGUUAUUAUCAUCCUCUUUUUAAUGGUUGGAUGGAGUUUGUUGAGGCAGAUUCUCAACGGCUGAAUGCUCUUCCUGUUGCCAACCCUUACCUGUUUCCAAGCAAGGUAAUAAUUUCUCUUUGGCCAGACAUGUUUUCACGGAAGACUAGAAACAAAGGUGUCAAGAGAAAGAAACAUAGAGGACGCUUGUUCAGACUUCCUCAAGAAAUUUUCACAAGUGUUGUGUGUGUGCUUAUAUCAUCAUCAUCAUCAUCAUCAUCGUUUAACGUCCGCUUUCCAUGCUAGCAUGGGUUGGAGGAUUUGACUGAGGACUGGCGAACCAGAUGGCUGCACCAUCUCCAAUUUGAUAUGGCAGAGUUUCUACAACCACUCUGAGAGUGUAGUGGGUGCUUUUACAUGCCACCUGCACAGGAGCCAGUCCAGCGGCACUGGCAAUGACCUCGCUCGAAUGUUUUUCACAUGUCACCGGCACAAGUGCCAGUAAGGCGAUGCUGGUAACGAUCACGUUUGAAUGGUGCUUUUUAUGUGCCACCGGCACGAUAUAAAAUAUAGUGAAAUGGUAUUAGAACAAUGAUGAUAACUAUUAGGAGCUGAAGAUGAGAUGAAUAUGUUUGGUGUGUUUUUUUUUGUGUUGUUGAAUGUGAAUCUUUUGUAUUUUGUGUUCUCACAGUUCAAAGUUGUCGUUCAUUGAAAUUCUAGUUCCUGUAGAAAUAUAAUUAUUGUUUCUGUUCAGAAGAUUAGAGGAGACAUCACCUUGCUUGGAAACAGAUGAGGGUUAGUGACAGAGAAAGCAUCCAUCUGUAGGAAAUCUGCGUCAACGAAUUUCGUCUGGCCUGUAUAGAAAAGUGGGCAUAAAAAUAACGUUGCUGUUAUCGUCAAUGAUACAGGCUUUUAUUUAUUUAGAUUUACUUAAUAUGGUUUUACAUAUUUUAUAUUUUCUGUUUCAAAGAAAUAAUUCAAAAACAUUUACAUUUUUCUAUGGUUCACAGAUUUGAAAUCUUGAAUUAAAUAUUCACCAGUGUUGUGUAAAAUUAUAAACCAUUUCAAGUGGUACAUUUAUUUUCUAGAAUAUUCUCUCUUCCAAUCACUUUGUUCCAAUUCCAUUCCCUGAUGUGCUUUUGCCAUUUUUCAUAUGACUCCAUAAUACUUCUCAUAAAAGACCCCUUUUUUUUAAUUUUUUUUUUUUUUUUUUUUACUUGGGGAGCUUUACUUUAGAAAAUCUGCAUGGAAUCAGUCUGUUUUGUUUCAAAAUGUUAAUUUUAAAAGAUUUGUUGUUAAGUUCCAGAUCAUCUCUGAUUUGGCAGACCUUUAACCAAAGACAUUCCAGUGAGGACCAUCCUUCCCCACCUUUUUUUUUUUUUUUUUUGUUACAGAUAUAGUGCAUUUGUGACUCCAUUUUCCAGUAUAUACUUUUUUUUAAAAAAAAAAAAGGAAAAAUGAUAGCAUUUGAUUUGAAGGAAAUUUACCUGCUUUUUCUAGCAGGCUGAGUUUUUUGAGAGUUGGUGAUUAAAGACAGCGAUAUGUAUUGUAUUCCAAUACGACUUUAGUUUGUGUUGGAACAUCUGACUUUGUAAUAAAUUCAGUGAACCUUGGUGAUAUUUGUAUGCUCUAUUCUAUAUCAUGCAAUGAAAAACUAAAGGAAGAAAAAAAACAGAGAAGUUUUUAAAAAUGAAGUUCUUUAAUGAAAUUACAUAACAUUAAACCUCAUUUAUGUUAAUGAUCGUUUCGUAUGGAUAUGUUAUGUUAUGAAAGAAAUAUAGGAUAUCCUGUAAUGAUGGGGGACAUGUUCUAUUUGUAGUCUACAAGAUCAUGGGUGCUCAACCAUGUGGAACGAGACAAUUGGGCACAGCUAUUUGGCCAUUGAUGCUUUGGCACGGCUGACUGAACAUUCAACCUGUUUUGGGGAUGGUAUGUUUUGGCACUGGAGGCAAACGCAUACACAUACAUACACACAUUUAGAAAUACAGAUAAAAAGAGUAAGAGAUAAAUAUUAUCAUCAUCAUUUGACAUCCAUUUUUCAUUUUGGCAUGGGUUGGACAGUUUGACCAGAACUGGCAAGUCGGAAGAUUGUGCCAAGCUCCUAUGUUUAUUUUGGCAUGGCUUUUAUGGUUGGAUGCCCUUCCUAAAGCCAACCACUUUAUAGAGUGGACUGGAUUUUUAUAUGGCACUAUCACUGGUAAGAUCCAGCACCAACAAUAAAAAUCUACAUACAGACUAGCCAUUUUGACCCAUGCUUUGCUCAGGUUUUGGUGGUGGUGUUGUUUUGUGCAUGUUGUCUCCUUUUCCCUUUUUUCUUUUGUUCGUCUUCUUUGCCUGGUUCUUUUUAUUGCCCUCUUCUUUACCCUCCUUUCCAAAAUCUCCCAAAUUUUUACACCCACAAUUAAAGAUAACCGCCUCUAGCCCCUGUAGCAACACGAAAAGCCACCAUUAUUCAAACAUCGCAAGCUGUAUAUCCCGUAAAACUCAAUUUUUUUCCAUAUUCCUCACCAUGGCAACCAAACGGUAGCCCCGAGUAACUUGCAACCCCCCUCACACCAUUGCCCACCCCAUUUUACCCCCGGUGUAAAUUUUGGUGCCAAUCCGACCCCAUCUACCGCCCCUUAAACCGUUCCCAUCCCAAAAUGAGACAAACAACCAAGAAAUCAAACAACUUUUUCGCAUUUCAGCUUUAUAGAUAUUGAUAAAAAGAGAGAAAGAGAUUACAUUAAUUAAUUCUGUUAAUUAAUCCUAUUAAUUAAUCAAUUAAUAAAUUGUAAACCCUCUCCCUCUCUUCAUAUACAUAAAGAGAAACAUACUCACAUGGAUAAACAGAGAAAGUGGUGGGGAGAAGGAAAAAAACAUUAAAUGUUUGAUAUAAAAAAAGUCAGCAUCGAACCAACAAUGCUAAAAUGGCCGUGCCAAUAUGUUUUGUAUUCUCAGUCACAUUUGUUCUUGUUCUCGUGACUUACAUAUAUACUGUAUCCCAUCUUUAGGGGACACCCUGGAUUUAAUUUACACCUUAUUUUCCUUAUAAUGGUUCAAUUAUUUUUUUUUUUUCAAAUUUAUGUAUAAAGAAAUUUGUUGUGUAUAUUCACUCCAUGCUUGUGUAUAUAAAUAAAUGUGUACCUGUAUGUGCAAUAUAUAAUAUAUAUAUAUUGUGUGUAUAGAUAUGUGAAUGAGUUUCAUUGUAUAUUUAUCUUCUCAAAAGUUAUGUAAUCUAUUAUAUUUAUUCAAUAUUUCUGUUUAAAUGUUUUCC